AGGGAAUCUUCCGCAAUGGGCGAAAGCCUGACGGAGCAAUGCCGCGUGAGUGAUGAAGGUCUUCGGAUCGUAAAACUCUGUUAUUAGGGAAGGACAAAUGUGUAAGUAACUGUGCACGUCUUGACGGUACCUAAUCAGAAAGCCACGGCUAACUACGUGCCAGCAGCCGCGGUAAUACGUAGGUGGCAAGCGUUAUCCGGAAUUAUUGGGCGUAAAGCGCGCGUAAGCGGUUUCUUAAGUCUGAUGUGAAAGCCCACGGCUCAACCGUGGAGGGUCAUUGGAAACUGGGAAACUUGAGUGCAGAAGAGGAAAGUGGAAUUCCAUGUGUAGCGGUGAAAUGCGCAGAGAUAUGGAGGAACACCAGUGGCGAAGGCGACUUUCUGGUCUGUAACUGACGCUGAUGUGCGAAAGCGUGGGGAUCAAACAGGAUUAGAUACCCUGGUAGUCCACGCCGUAAACGAUGAGUGCUAAGUGUUAGGGGGUUUCCGCCCCUUAGUGCUGCAGCUAACGCAUUAAGCACUCCGCCUGGGGAGUACGACCGCAAGGUUG
rnacentral:rRNA from 1 species